CGAGUCAGGGCGUGGGCCUGGGAGCGUCCGCGGGACUGUGCGACUGUCGCUGCCCUGCCUUCCCCGCCCCCUCUCCCUUCCGCCCUUCUCCCCCCCACUUUGUCACACUCCUUAGACAGGGACUGGGCGACCUAGAACGAGGUUCCCAUAUCGUGUUUUAAAAAGCAAAACUUAGUCUCUGUUUUGCUUUUUGUUUCAUUGUUUUUAGCUUUAAAGAGUAAGAGCAGCGCACCCGGCUCCCUCCUGCUAAUUAGAUUUCAGAUUCCCCUCUGGCCUCAGUGCUCAUUCCGGGGAAGACACCUGCUGAGAUGUCUUUUUCCCCCUCCCCCAACCAAACCACUCAGGUCCUACCUGCUCUUUCCCGGCUUGAUGCGGGCGUGUUUUCCUGUAUGUAUUUUUUCGUGCGGCCACAAAAAGCAUCAGCUGGGGUUCCCGAAGGUCAGAAAAUGGCUAUUGAUUAAUCUACUAGAAUAGUUGCCGAGAGAAAUAAAAACGACGUAAAAUAGCAGGGAACCUAUAAAUAAAGAAGCCAUAACUGGCUACUUGGAGUUGUUAAACGACUUAGCAUAUGAAAAAAUCGGAAAUGAGGCGCUGGGGAAGGAGCUGGGAUUGGCAGCGGCCUGGGUAAGUCGAGUGGAUCCGGGAAGAGGCCUGGUGUCUUCAGGUGUGGACAAAUCCUCCAAGAUUUAACUUCCAAGAAAACCGGCGGCGGAGCGGGUGGAGGAGGCGAGGAUGUGUGGCCAAUGCACGCGGAGUGCAAGGCCGCCUAGUUGGGAGCCGCAAGAGCCUGCCUGGUGUGGCAGGCACACGGAACCCAAUCCCUGUCUGUCCGCUGCGGCCUGGGAGGGGAGCGCCGGCCUCACCAGAGGAAGGAGCACGAGGGGAGGAGUUCCGAGAGGAAAUAAUUAGUGAAAUAUUUGCAGAAGAUGCUGGGAUGUGGAUUUAAUUCCGGAUGGACAGUGGUGCUUCUGAUUCCCUCAGUCUGUUUCCCCACCCACGAUCUCCUCUUUCCUUGGCCUAGACACACCAAAAAUAAUUCAAUAAAAUAAAAAUAAAAAUUUAAAAA
rnacentral:lncRNA from 10 species